rnacentral:rRNA from 1 species
GAUGAACGCUAGCUACAGGCUUAACACAUGCAAGUCGAGGGGCAGCAUGGUCUUAGCUUGCUAAGGCCGAUGGCGACCGGCGCACGGGUGAGUAACACGUAUCCAACCUGCCGUCUACUCUUGGACAGCCUUCUGAAAGGAAGAUUAAUACAAGAUGGCAUCAUGAGUCCACAUGUUCACAUGAUUAAAGGUAUUCCGGUAGACGAUGGGGAUGCGUUCCAUUAGAUAGUAGGCGGGGUAACGGCCCACCUAGUCUUCGAUGGAUAGGGGUUCUGAGAGGAAGGUCCCCCACAUUGGAACUGAGACACGGUCCAAACUCCUACGGGAGGCAGCAGUGAGGAAUAUUGGUCAAUGGGCGAGAGCCUGAACCAGCCAAGUAGCGUGAAGGAUGACUGCCCUAUGGGUUGUAAACUUCUUUUAUAAAGGAAUAAAGUCGGGUAUGCAUACCCGUUUGCAUGUACUUUAUGAAUAAGGAUCGGCUAACUCCGUGCCAGCAGCCGCGGUAAUACGGAGGAUCCGAGCGUUAUCCGGAUUUAUUGGGUUUAAAGGGAGCGUAGAUGGAUGUUUAAGUCAGUUGUGAAAGUUUGCGGCUCAACCGUAAAAUUGCAGUUGAUACUGGAUAUCUUGAGUGCAGUUGAGGCAGGCGGAAUUCGUGGUGUAGCGGUGAAAUGCUUAGAUAUCACGAAGAACUCCGAUUGCGAAGGCAGCCUGCUAAGCUGCAACUGACAUUGAGGCUUCGAAAGUGUGGGUAUCAAACAGGAUUAGAUACCCUGUAAGUCCACACGGUAAACGAUGAAUACUCGCUGUUUUGCGAUAUACUGCAAGCGGCCAAAGCGAAAGCGUUAAGUAUUCCACCUGGGGAGUACGCCGGCAACGGUGAAACUCAAAGGAAUUGACGGGGGGCCCGCACAAGCGGAGGAACAUGUGGUUUAAUUCGAUGAUACGCGAGGAACCUUACCCGGGCUUAAAUUGCAGAUGAAUUACGGUGAAAGCCGUAAGCCGCAAGGCAUCUGUGAAGGUGCUGCAUGGUUGUCGUCAGCUCGUGCCGUGAGGUGUCGGCUUAAGUGCCAUAACGAGCGCAACCCUUGUUGUCAGUUACUAACAGGUUCCGCUGAGGACUCUGACAAGACUGCCAUCGUAAGAUGUGAGGAAGGUGGGGAUGACGUCAAAUCAGCACGGCCCUUACGUCCGGGGCUACACACGUGUUACAAUGGGGGGUACAGAGGGCCGCUACCACGCGAGUGGAUGCCAAUCCCAAAAACCUCUCUCAGUUCGGACUGGAGUCUGCAACCCGACUCCACGAAGCUGGAUUCGCUAGUAAUCGCGCAUCAGCCACGGCGCGGUGAAUACGUUCCCGGGCCUUGUACACACCGCCCGUCAAGCCAUGGGAGCCGGGGGUACCUGAAGUGCGUAACCGCGAGGAGCGCCCUAGGGUAAAACUGGUGACUGGGGCU